CUUAAGUAUAGAGUUUAACUGUGUCAUUUUUAUUAGCAGGAUAUUCUAUCAGCAGAAAAGUUCAAAAAGCUGACUGAAUAACCCCUCUCACGUCAGUAAGGACGAAGUAAUACGGACAAUGUUCUCUCUGGUCACGUAUCCUUCAUGAAAUGUAAAUAAAUACUAGGAUGUGAAGCAUGUACUUCUGCAGAAUACAGCGUUGUCUGGAAAUAGACUCUUGCCAGUUACAGCUGUAAUGGAGAAAGCAAACCUUUCAACACUGUUCUUCUGUUGGCUGCUUUGAAAAUGUUUGUGGAAGUGCUUUGCCAGUCAGCAUAAGGCUUCAGGCAUCCUUGUAAUGUAAUAGCUGAUGGAGUUAUACACAGCCAUUGUUUGUGGCAGGUGACAGCACAGCUUUGCAUUAAUAUCAGGUAUUUGCAGACAGUGGCAGUUGGAAUUGCUUGGCCCAGAAAGAAAUUGUUGCUCUGCCAAAAGCAACAAGGAACCUUCUGAUGACUACAGCAGUACCAAAAGUUUGAUUCAGGAGACUGAUGGCUUAUGUGAGCAACAGAUUGCUGCCCAGGUAAAAGAGUUUUGCAAAGAGGCCAUCAAAGUCACCCAAACUUAGUGAGGAAAUGGAGA
rnacentral:lncRNA from 1 species